rnacentral:rRNA from 1 species
CCUACGGGGGGCAGCAGUGGGGAAUAUUGCGCAAUGGGCGAAAGCCUGACGCAGCGACGCCGCGUGAGGGAUGAAGGUCUUCGGAUCGUAAACCUCUGUCAGCAGGGAAGAACGGUCACUGUGCUAAGCAGCAGUGAAUUGACGGUACCAGCAAAGGAAGCACCGGCUAACACCGUGCCAGCAGCCGCGGUAAUACGGAGGGUGCGAGCGUUAAUCGGCAUUACGGGGCGUAACGCGAUCGUAGGCGGUCUGGCAAGUCCAGGGUGCAAUCCCCGCGCUCAGCGUGGGUACUGCCUUUGAAACUGGCAGACUCGCGUGUGUGAGCGGAUAGUGGAAUUCCAGGUGUAGGAGUGAAAUCCGUAGAUAUCUGGAGGAACAUCAGUGGCGGAGGCGACUAUCUGGCACAUAACUGACGCUGAGGAGCGAACGCGUGGGUAGCAAACAGGAUUAGAUACCCGGGUAGUC